AUGAUGCCCAGGGAAAUCAAAAUGUCAACAAGUGAAAACUUACGGGUGGAGUUAUUGUCCAGGACCCCGCCUUUUGGUUUGAGACUAUGGGUUGUGCUUGGCAUAAGCAUUUGGGCUGCAAUUCUGUUUGUCCUAGGCCUCAUAUGCUUCCUGUUGGUAUACUGGAGGAGACGAGGGAAUCAUCAUGAUAUUGCUGAGCCUGAAAUCCCAGAUGUAACCAAAGAGAUUGCAGUAGAUGAAGUUGGUAGCCGAGCUUUCGUGGAGAACAUCAGUGCCCCAGAAAGUCACAUCUUUCCAGUGAAGGAGAGAGAUCCAGAGAAAGAAUCGGGGAAAAUGUUCGCUCACUUGAUUACGAGCAAAUCAAGUGAUGAUCAUAAUUUGAUUGAGUGCAGCUCGCACCAAUAUGAUAGGGCCCAGGAGUUAUACUCUGGUGAUGAAGGCAGUUCAGCAUAUGAUAAGAGGGAGUACUCUCAGUGUGCCACCAUGUCCAUGUCUCCUCGAGCUGGUCUCCCAGAGUUCUCUCACCUGGGUUUGGGUCAUUGGUAUACUCUCAGAGAGUUGGAGCAUUCAACAAAUGGGUUCUCUAAUGAGCAUAUCAUUGGAGAGGGCGGAUAUGGGGUUGUUUAUCAUGGCCGUCUUAUAAAUGGAACUGAUGUUGCAAUCAAAAAACUUUUUAAUAACCUGGGCCAGGCAGAGAAAGAGUUCAGGGUCGAAGUUGAGGCCAUUGGUCAUGUUAGGCAUAAGAAUCUGGUGCGACUUCUGGGUUACUGUGUCGAGGGAAGCCACAGGAUGCUUGUCUACGAAUACAUCAGCAACGGCAACUUAGAACAGUGGUUGCAUGGUGCGAUGCGUCAACAAGGUGUUCUUACCUGGGAAGCCCGCAUAAAAAUUACCCUUGGCAUUGCUAAAGCACUGGCUUAUUUGCAUGAAGGCAUAGAGCCAAAAGUUAUUCACCGUGAUAUCAAAUCCAGUAAUAUCCUUAUUGACGAAGAAUUCAAUGGAAAACUUUCUGACUUUGGAUUAUCUAAGCUCUUGGGUGAAGGGAAGAGCCAUAUAACUACUCGAGUUAUGGGGACUUUUGGCUAUGUAGCCCCUGAAUACGUAAAUACUGGACUGCUAAAUGAAAAGAGCGACGUGUACAGUUUUGGGGUACUACUCUUGGAAGCGGUGACUGGAAGGGAUCCUGUUAACUACAGCCGGCCUGCCAAUGAGGUCCAUAUGGUGGAGUGGCUUAAACAGAUGGUUGGCAGCAGGAAAGCAGAGGAGGUGGUUGAUCCUGAAAUGGAGGCUAAACCAACUAAACAGGCUCUCAAGCGUGCUCUCCUAGUCGCGCUCAAGUGUGUAGACCCCGUUGCUGGCAGAAGGCCUACUAUGGGUCAGGCCGUUCGUAUGCUCGAAGCAGAGGAUGGGCUAUCACGGGAGGAACGGAGGAAGAGCCGGCCGGCGCAUGUCGAUGGUGGAGACACCUGA
rnacentral:rRNA from 1 species